AAAUAAACGUCCCAGUUCGGAUUGUAGUCUGCAACUCGACUACAUGAAGCUGGAAUCGCUAGUAAUCGCGAAUCAGAAUGUCGCGGUGAAUACGUUCCCGGGUCUUGUACACACCGCCCGUCACACCAUGGGAGUCGGAAAUGCCCGAAGUCAGUGACCUAACCGAAAGGAAGGAGCUGCCGAAGGUGGAGCCGGUAACUGGGGUGAAGUCGUAACAAGGUAAC
rnacentral:rRNA from 1 species